rnacentral:rRNA from 1 species
AUGAACGCUGGCGGCGUGCCUAAUACAUGCAAGUCGAGCGAACAGACGAGGAGCUUGCUCCUCUGACGUUAGCGGCGGACGGGUGAGUAGCACGUGGAUAACCUACCUAUAAGACUGGGAUAACUUCGGGAAACCGGAGCUAAUACCGGAUAAUCUAUUGAACCGCAUGGUUCAAUAGUGAAAGACGGUUUUGCUGUCACUUAUAUAUGGAUCCGCGCCGCAUUAGCUAGUUGGUAAGGUAACGGCUUACCAAGGCAACGAUGCGUAGCCGACCUGAGAGGGUGAUCGGCCACACUGGAACUGAGACACGGUCCAGACUCCUACGGGAGGCAGCAGUAGGGAAUCUUCCGCAAUGGGCGAAAGCUUGACGGAGCAACGCCGCGUGAGUGAGGAAGGUCUUCGGAUCGUAAAACUCUGUUAUUAGGGAAGAACAAAUGUGUAAGUAACUAUGCACGUCUUGACGGUACCUAAUCAGAAAGCCACGGCUAACUACGUG